rnacentral:rRNA from 1 species
UACAGAGGUGGCAAGCGUUGCUCGGUAUCACUGGGCUUAAAGGGCGCGUAGGCGGUGCGGUACGGUUUCGGUGAAAUCCCUCGGCCCAACCGAGGAACAGCCGGGGCUACGGCCGCGCUCGACGGCAUCAGGGGACAGUGGAACUCCCGGUGGAGCGGUGAAAUGCGUAGAUAUCGGGAGGAACGCCGGUGGCGAAGGCGGAUCUCUGGGCCAUUACUGACGCUGAGGAGCGAAAGCCAGGGGAGCAAACGGG